rnacentral:rRNA from 1 species
GACGAACGCUGGCGGCGUGCCUAAUACAUGCAAGUCGAACGCAGUGGGGACUGGUGAGUAACACGUGGGUAACCUCCCAUCAGAGGGGAUAACCCUUGGAAACAGCUGCUAAACCGAUAUCGACGGAUGGACCCGCGGUGCAUUAGCUAGUCGGUGAGGUCACGGCCCACCAAGGCAACGAUGCAUAGCCGGCCUGGGAGGGUGAUAGGCCACACUGUGACUGAGAGACGGCAAAGACUCCUACGGGAGGCAGCAGUGGGAAAUCUUCGGCAAUGGAGGAAAGUCUGACCGAGAAACGCCGCGUGAGUGAAGAAGGUUUUCGGAUCGUAAAACUCUGUUGUUAGAGAAGCGGUAUCUAAACAGAAAGCCACGGCUAACUACGUGCCAGCAGCCGCGGUAAUAC